CACACGACCGUACCGCAAACCGACACUGGUGCGCGAGAUGAGUAUUCUAAGGCGCUUGAGAGAACUCAGGAGAAGGAACUCGGCAAAUUGACACCGUAACUUCGGAAGAAGGUGUGCCUUUAGUAGGUGAACCAUUUACUUGGGGAGCCCAAUGAGGCUGCAAAAAAUCGGUGGCUGCAACUGUUUAUUAAAAACACAGCACUCUGCUAAGACGAAAGUCGACGUAUAGGGUGUGACGCCUGCCCGGUGCUGGAAGAUUAAAUGAUGGGGUGCAAGCUCUUGAUUGAAGUCCCAGUAAACGGCGGCCGUAACAAUAACGGUCCUAAGGUAGCGAAAUUCCUUGUCGGGUAAGUUCCGACCUGCACGAAUGGCGUAAUGAUGGCCACACUGUCUCCUCCUGAGACUCAGCGAAGUUGAAAUGUUUGUGAUGAUGCAAUCUCCCCGCGGAAAGACGGAAAGACCCCAUGAACCUUUACUGUAGCUUUGUAUUGGACUUUGAACAGAUCUGUGUAGGAUAGGUGGGAGGCUUUGAAGUGUGGUCGCUAGAUCGCAUGGAGCCAACGUUGAAAUACCACCCUGGUGUGUUUGAGGUUCUAACCUAGGUCCAUUAUCUGGAUCGGGGACAGUGCAUGGUAGGCAGUUUGACUGGGGCGGUCUCCUCCCAAAGUGUAACGGAGGAGUUCGAAGGUACGCUAGGUACGGUCGGACAUCGUGCUAAUAGUGCAAUGGCAUAAGCGUGCUUAACUGCGAGACUGACAAGUCGAGCAGAUGCGAAAGCAGGACAUAGUGAUCCGGUGGUUCUGUAUGGAAGGGCCAUCGCUCAACGGAUAAAAGGUACUCUGGGGAUAACAGGCUGAUACCGCCCAAGAGUUCAUAUCGACGGCGGUGUUUGGCACCUCGAUGUCGGCUCAUCUCAUCCUGGGGCUGUAGCCGGUCCCAAGGGUAUGGCUGUUCGCCAUUUAAAGAGGUACGUGAGCUGGGUUUAAAACGUCGUGAGACAGUUUGGUCCCUAUCUUCCGUGGGCGCUGCAGAUUUGAGGAAGCCUGCUCCUAGUACGAGAGGACCGGAGUGGACGAACCUCUGGUGUAUCGGUUGUCACGCCAGUGGCAUUGCCGAGUAGCUAAGUUCGGAAGAGAUAACCGCUGAAAGCAUCUAAGCGGGAAACUCGUUUCAAGAUUAGAUCUGCCGGGGCCUUGAGCCCCCUAAAGAGUCGUUCAAGACCAGGACGUUGAUAGGUCAGGUGUGGAAGC
rnacentral:rRNA from 1 species